AGUGAACGCUGGCGGUAGGCCUAACACAUGCAAGUCGAACGGCAGCACAGUAAUUUCUUUCUCUUACGUUUUGCGAGUGGCGGACUGUUUAGCAAUACAUCGUAAUCUACUUUUUCGUGUUUGAUAACGUAGGGAAACUUACGCUAAUACCGCAUACUACCUACGGUUGAAAUCAGUGGAUCUUCUGACCUUGCUCUUUUUUAUUAGCCGAUGUCGGAUUAGCUAGUUGGCUGGGUAAAGUCCCACCAAGGCGACGAUCCGUAGCUGGUCUGAGAGGAUGAUCAGCCACACUGGAACUGAGACACGGUCCAGACUCCUACGGGAGGCAGCAGUGGGGAAUAUUGGACAAUGGGCGAAAGCCUGAUCCAGCAAGACCGCGUGGGUGAAGAAGGCCUUCGGGUUGUAAAGCACUUUUGUUGGGAAAGAAAAGAAGCAGGUGAAAACCCGGAUGUUCUGACGGUACCAAAAGAAAAAGCAACGGCUAACUUCGUG
rnacentral:rRNA from 1 species